rnacentral:rRNA from 1 species
UAUUGAAAUAAGAUUUUAAAUGAGUGCUAAGAGAAUGAUUAAACAAUUAAAAGCUUUCUUUAAUUAAAAAAUUAAAUUUAAUUUUUUUAGUGCAAAAGCAAAAAUAAAAUUUAGGGACAAGAAGACCCUAUGAAUUUUUAUUGUUAAUAAUUAAAAUUUAAGUUAUUAAUAAUUUAAUUGGGGCGAUAAAAAAAGAAUAAGUAUCUUUUUAAUUAUAAAAUAAGUUCCGUUUUUAGCGAUUAAAUGAAAUAAAUACUCUAGGGAUAACAGCGUAAUAAUUUUGGAUAGUUCAUAUAGAUAAAAUAGUUUGCGACCUCGAUGUUGGAUUAGGAUUCUUUUUUGGUGAAGAAGUUAAAGAAAGAAGUUUGUU